rnacentral:rRNA from 1 species
UGGGGAAUAUUGCACAAUGGGCGCAAGCCUGAUGCAGCCAUGCCGCGUGUAUGAAGAAGGCCUUCGGGUUGUAAAGUACUUUCAGCGGGGAGGAAGGGAGUAAAGUUAAUACCUUUGCUCAUUGACGUUACCCGCAGAAGAAGCACCGGCUAACUCCGUGCCAGCAGCCGCGGUAAUACGGAGGGUGCAAGCGUUAAUCGGAAUUACUGGGCGUAAAGCGCACGCAGGCGGUUUGUUAAGUCAGAUGUGAAAUCCCCGGGCUCAACCUGGGAACUGCAUCUGAUACUGGCAAGCUUGAGUCUCGUAGAGGGGGGUAGAAUUCCUGGUGUAGCGGUGAAAUGCGUAGAGAUCUGGAGGAAUACCGGUGGCGAAGGCGGCCCCCUGGACGAAGACUGACGCUCAGGUGCGAAAGCGUGGGGAGCAAACAGG